rnacentral:rRNA from 1 species
GGAAUUUUGGGCAAUGGGCGAAAGCCUGACCCAGCAACGCCGCGUGAAGGAUGAAGUAUUUCGGUAUGUAAACUUCGACAGAAGGGGAAGAAUAAAUGACGGUACCAUUUAUAAGCUCCGGCUAACUACGUGCCAGCAGCCGCGGUAAUACGUAGGUGGCAAGCGUUGUCCGGAUUUAUUGGGUUUAAAGGGUGCGUAGGCGGCUUUGUAAGUCAGUGGUGAAAUAUCGCAGCUUAACUGUGAGGGUGCCAUUGAUACUGCAGAGCUUGAGUACAGAUGAGGUAGGCGGAAUUGACGGUGUAGCGGUGAAAUGCUUAGAUAUCGUCAAGAACACCUAUAGCGAAGGCAGCUUACUAGGCUGUAACUGACGCUGAGGCACGAAAGUGUGGGGAUCAAAC